rnacentral:rRNA from 1 species
UCCCUACGGAGGCAGCAGUAGGGAAUUUUCGUCAAUGGGCGCAAGCCUGAACGAGCAAUGCCGCGUGAACGAGGAAGGUCUUCGGAUCGUAAAGUUCUGUUGAAGGGGAAAAAGAGCGGAGAGAGGAAAUGGUCUCCGAUUGAUAUUACCCUUCGAGGAAGUCACGGCUAACUCCGUGCCAGCAGCCGCGGUAAUACGGAGGAUGCGAGCGUUAUCCGGAUUUAUUGGGUUUAAAGGGUGCGCAGGCGGCGAGUUAAGUCAGCGGUAAAAUUUCGGGGCGCAACCCCGACGAGCCGUUGAAACUG